rnacentral:lncRNA from 1 species
AAGGACUGUGCUCCCAAUCCGCUUACGCUCAAGGAAGAACUGGAAGGCCCAGAACCAGCCUGCUGUCAGGAUCAGAACAAAAGAGGAGGACUGCAUAUGUAUGGACCCACUCCAGAUGGCACGGGGACGGGGGGAGUAGGAAAAGUGGCAUGGUCCCUUCCCGUGGAUAUAAUUCUUCCCAGGCCUGUUGUGUGAGUUGGUGAUGCCAUCAUUCCUGCCUCACACUUGCAAACUUCCCUCUUUGGAAUUUCAGAGACCAGGCCCACAGAGUAUGGCUGUGCAAGUUGUUCACUCUACAAGGGCACCUGGCCGGGCUCUCUGGUGGAGCCUCUGUCUCACAGGUCACCUGCAGGCCAACACUCCCAGAAGCAGCUAGCACCAUGGUUGACCUCGUCCAGGUCCAGGGAAGGCCUCCCUCUCCAGGACU